rnacentral:misc_RNA from 1 species
GGGUGUUGGAGAAUUUAUCAGACACCAUUACUGCUGUUCAUACAGUUAAUGGGUCUCAUUGCUUGGACAUAGUUUUCGCAAACAAAACAACUGAUCCAGUAUGGUUGGUCGAACAAAGAGAAGUCGAGAUCAAAAUUAUUGAAGGAUGGAUUAACAAGUACUAUGAUGAUCUGAGGAAUCAGCAAUGAAAACCACACCAAAUUUGUAAUAAUCUGGAAUGGGAUUAAUGGUAGUAGGAAUAUUAAAG